GGCGGCGUGCUUAACACAUGCAAGUCGAGCGGAAAGGCCCUUCGGGGGUACUCGAGCGGCGAACGGGUGAGUAACACGUGAGCAACCUGCCCCUGACUCUGGGAUAAGCCCGGGAAACUGGGUCUAAUACCGGAUACGACCGCCCCCGGCAUCGGGUGGUGGUGGAAAGUUUUUUCGGUCGGGGAUGGGCUCGCGGCCUAUCAGCUUGUUGGUGGGGUAGUGGCCUACCAAGGCGACGACGGGUAGCCGGCCUGAGAGGGCGACCGGCCACACUGGGACUGAGACACGGCCCAGACUCCUACGGGAGGCAGCAGUGGGGAAUAUUGCGCAAUGGGCGGAAGCCUGAGCCAGCGACGCCGCGUGGGGGAUGACGGCCUUCGGGUUGUAAACCUCUUUCAGCAGGGACGAAGUUGACGUGUACCUGCAGAAGAAGCGCCGGCUAACUACGUGCCAGCAGCCGCGGUAAUACGUAGGGGAAAGCGUUGUCCGGAAUUAUUGGGCGUAAAGAGCUCGUAGGUGGCUGGUCGCGUCUGCCGUGAAAGCCGCAGCUUAACUGCGGGUCUGCGGUGGAUACGGGCCGGCUAGAGGUAGGUAGGGGCAAGUGGAAUUCCUGGUGUAGCGGUGAAAUGCGCAGAUAUCAGGAGGAACACCGGUGGCGAAGGCGGCUUGCUGGGCCUUACCUGACGCUGAGGAGCGAAAGCGUGGGGAGCGAACAGGAUUAGAUACCCUGGUAGUCCACGCUGUAAACGUUGGGCGCUAGGUGUGGGGAUCUUCCACGAUUCCGUGCCGGAGCUAACGCAUUAAGCGCCCCGCCUGGGGAGUACGGCCGC
rnacentral:rRNA from 1 species